rnacentral:lncRNA from 10 species
GCAAUUCUAUGAGUCACAGAGGUCAGAAGCAGGUAGGGAGAGCCUGACAAUUACUUCUAACUAAUUGGUAUUCAAUGUCUUUUAACCAUGGCAACCUUUGUUCAAGUGAGAUCUUACUUGGAAGUCCAAUAUAUUCUGCAGAUAAAAGUGAGUUCCUCGGGUUAAAGGUGCGAGAGGAUAGCCCAAACUUUAAUCUUGAACCUACAGUGGCCCCUGUGGCUUUUCCAUGGAAGCCCUAGGCCUUGAGAAGCAGAUCUGGAAAAUCACUCCUUGUUGUUGAUUGCAAAAAUUGCCAAAAUGCAUUGCAGCUUCUCCCAUCAAGAGGCAGAGCUAUUUUCUCUACUCCCAGAACUGGGGUGGGCCUUGUGACUUGCUUUGACAGAAUGCAGCAAAAGUGACAUGGCGCCAGUUCUCAGUUGACGCCUCAAGAGACUUCAUGCUCUUCUGUGCUUGCUCUUGGAACCCUUCCACCACCAAGUGAGCAAGCCCAGGUUGGCCUGCUGGACGGUGACAACCUCAGUCAUCUCAGCCCAGCUCUCAUUGUGCGAGAGCAGGAUGGCCUGCUGGAUGGCGACAGCCCCAGUCAUCUCAGCUGAGACCGUCGCAAGCCAACCUGGCAGCUGAUCAUGCCCAUCUGAGACCAGACCAGCCCAGUACAGACCCAAAGGACUGCCUGGCUGAGGCUGGCCAAAUUGCUGACCUACACAAUUGUGAGCUAAAGGACUCUCUCCUUUGGGAUCCAGUCACCAUGUUGUGAGGAAGCCCAGACCACAUGGAGAGGCCACAUAUAGAGGUUCUAGCCAAUGACUCCAGCUAAAGCCUCAGUCAACAGACAGCAUUCACGUGAAUGAACAGGUCUUCAGAUGAACCCAGCCCCAAGCCUUUGUCCCUUUCAGCUCAGUCCGCAGACACCAAGAAGCAUGGAGAAGCAUUUGCCCUAUCGAAUUCCCAAUCCACCGAAUCCACGAGUGAUUGUUUUAUGCCACUAGGUUUUGGAACAAUUUGUUCUGCAGCCAUGGCAACUAUAUUACCUCUCUAGGUUUCCUUGCACAAAAGAACACUGGACUGGAAAUAAAGUGAGUGGAAUAUUCCCAUCCCUUUCUCUUAAUAGCUGUUGACACUCAGUAGCUGUGUGAACUUGGGCAUGUCAUUUCUCAUCUCCAGGUUCUUUAUCCUCCCUCCUGAAAUACAAGGAUAGAGUUGGAUGAUUUCUAAGACCCUAGGAAGCUUGAAAAUUGUAUCAACAGAGACUCUUUAUGGAAUGACCCAAUUAAAACCAUGUCAAUUGAU